rnacentral:rRNA from 1 species
GGAGCAUGUGGUUUAAUUCGAUGCAACGCGAAGAACCUUUACCUGGUCUUGACAUUCCACGGAAGUUUUCAGAGAUGAGAAUGUGCCUUCGGGAACCGUGAGACAGGUGCUGCAUGGCUGUCGUCAGCUCGUGUUGUGAAAUGUUGGGUUAAGUCCCGCAACGAGCGCAACCCUUAUCCUUUGUUGCCAGCGGUCCGGCCGGGAACUCAAAGGAGACUGCCAGUGAUAAACUGGAGGAAGGUGGGAUGACGUCAAGUCAUCAUGGCCCUUACGACCAGGGCUACACACGUGCUACAAUGGCGCAUACAAAGAGAAGCGACCUCGCGAGAGCAAGCGGACCUCAUAAAGUGCGUCGUAGUCCGGAUUGGAGUCUGCAACUCGACUCCAUGAAGUCGGAAUCGCUAGUAAUCGUGGAUCAGAAUGCCACGGUGAAUACGUUCCCGGGCCUU